GACGAACGCUGGCGGCGUGCUUAACACAUGCAAGUCGAACGCUGAAGCUCAGCUUGCUGGGUGGAUGAGUGGCGAACGGGUGAGUAACACGUGAGUAACCUGCCCUCUUCUUUGGGAUAACGCCCGGAAACGGGUGCUAAUACUGGAUAUUCACUGAUUCUCGCAUGGGGGUUGGUGGAAAGGUUUUUUCUGGUGGGGGAUGGGCUCGCGGCCUAUCAGCUUGUUGGUGGGGUGAUGGCCUACCAAGGCUUUGACGGGUAGCCGGCCUGAGAGGGUGACCGGUCACAUUGGGACUGAGAUACGGCCCAGACUCCUACGGGAGGCAGCAGUGGGGAAUAUAGCACAAUGGGCGAAAGCCUGAUGCAGCGACGCCGCGUGAGGGAUGGAGGCCUUCGGGUUGUAAACCUCUUUCGCUUAUGGUCAAGCCGCAGCUUUGGGUUGUGGUGAGGGUAGUGGGUAAAGAAGCGCCGGCUAACUACGUG
rnacentral:rRNA from 1 species